CAGGGCAGCUGGUCGGUCGCGUUUCCGCAAGGGAAUGAGGAAAGUCCGGGCUCCACAGGGCAUGGCGCUGGGUAACGCCCAGGCUUCGGAAAAGAGAUUUUCCGGGGACGGAAAGUGCAACAGAGAAUACACCGCCGAUGGUCUCUUCGGAGACACAGGUAAGGGUGAAAAAGUGCGGUAAGAGCGCACUGGAGCGUCUGGUGACAGCGCUUCUGGUAAACCCCGCCGGAGCAAGACCGAACAGGGGGGAUGAAACGGCCCGUUUCGCUACAACCCCGGGUAGGUCGCUAGAGGUUAGAGGUAACUCUGAUCCCAGAUAGAUGACCGACACCUCGCAAGAGGCACAGAACCCGGCUUACAGGCUGCUCUGCUUU
rnacentral:RNase_P_RNA from 1 species